GAUACAUUGAGCUUAGGUAGCACAUAUUAUAAGUGGGAUGAUACAGAGGAGAUUAGAAUGGCCCCUGCAUCAGGGUGUCAGGCAAAUUUGUGACAUGCUCCAUAUAUUU